rnacentral:rRNA from 1 species
UGGGGAAUUUUGGACAAUGGGCGCAAGCCUGAUCCAGCCAUGCCGCGUGCAGGAAGACGGCCCUCUGGGUUGUAAACUGCUUUUAUUCGGGAAUAAACCUAUCUACGUGUAGAUAGCUGAAUGUACCGAAGGAAUAAGGAUCGGCUAACUCCGUGCCAGCAGCCGCGGUAAUACGGAGGAUCCAAGCGUUAUCCGGAAUCAUUGGGUUUAAAGGGUCCGUAGGCGGUUUAGUAAGUCAGUGGUGAAAGCCCAUCGCUCAACGAUGGAACGGCCAUUGAUACUGCUAGACUUGAAUUAUUAGGAAGUAACUAGAAUAUGUAGUGUAGCGGUGAAAUGCUUAGAUAUGACAUAGAACACCGAUUGCGAAGGCAGCUCACUACGGAUGUAUUGACACUGAGGCACGAAAGCGUGGGGAUCAAACA